rnacentral:rRNA from 1 species
GACGAACGCUGGCGGCGUGCCUAAUACAUGCAAGUUGAGCGAUGAAGAUUGGUGCUUGCACCAAUUUGCAGAGCAGCGAACGGGUGAGUAACGCGUGGGGAAUCUGCCUUUGAGCGGGGGACAACAUUUGGAAACGAAUGCUAAUACCGCAUAAUAACUUUAAACAUAAGUUUUAAGUUUGAAAGAUGCAAUUGCAUCACUCAAAGAUGAUCCCGCGUUGUAUUAGCUAGUUGGUGAGGUAAAGGCUCACCAAGGCGAGGAUACAUAGCCGACCUGAGAGGGUGAUCGGCCACAUUGGGACUGAGACACGGCCCAAACUCCUACGGGAGGCAGCAGUAGGGAAUCUUCGGCAAUGGACGAAAGUCUGACCGAGCAACGCCGCGUGAGUGAAGAAGGUUUUCGGAUCGUAAAACUCUGUUGGUAGAGAAGAACGUUGGUGAGAGUGGAAAGCUCAUCAAGUGACGGUAACUACCCAGAAAGGGACGGCUAACUACGUG